CCUACGGGUGGCUGCAGUGGGGAAUAUUGGACAAUGGGGGGAACCCUGAUCCAGCCAUGCCGCGUGUGUGAAGAAGGCCCUCGGGUUGUAAAGCACUUUCAGUGAGGAAUAACGCCUGGUGGUUAAUACCCAUCAGGAAAGACAUCACUCACAGAAGAAGCACCGGCUAACUCCGUGCCAGCAGCCGCGGUAAUACGGAGGGUGCGAGCGUUAAUCGGAAUUACUGGGCGUAAAGCGCGCGUAGGUGGCUUGAUAAGCCGGUUGUGAAAGCCCCGGGCUCAACCUGGGAACGGCAUCCGGAACUGUCAAGCUAGAGUGCAGGAGAGGAAGGUAGAAUUCCCGGUGUAGCGGUGAAAUGCGUAGAGAUCGGGAGGAAUACCAGUGGCGAAGGCGGCCUUCUGGACUGACACUGACACUGAGGUGCGAAAGCGUGGGUAGCAAACAGGAUUAGAUACCCCAGUAGUC
rnacentral:rRNA from 1 species